rfam:Salmo salar isolate Sally breed double haploid chromosome ssa28, whole genome shotgun sequence.
UGCACUCACUACUGUAAGUUGCUCUGGAUAAGAGCAUCUGCUGAAUAUCUAAAA